GGUUCCAUAGUGUAGAGGUUAGCACAUCUGCUUUACACACAGAAGGUCCUGGGUUCGUGGCCCAGUAGAGCCA
rnacentral:tRNA from 1 species